UAGAGUUUGAUCCUGGCUCAGGAUGAACGCCGGCGGUGUGCCUAAUACAUGCAAGUCGUACGCACUGGCCCAACUGAUUGAUGGUGCUUGCACCUGAUUGACGAUGGAUCACCAGUGAGUGGCGGACGGGUGAGUAACACGUAGGUAACCUGCCCCGGAGCGGGGGAUAACAUUUGGAAACAGAUGCUAAUACCGCAUAACAACAAAAGCCACAUGGCUUUUGUUUGAAAGAUGGCUUUGGCUAUCACUCUGGGAUGGACCUGCGGUGCAUUAGCUAGUUGGUAAGGUAACGGCUUACCAAGGCGAUGAUGCAUAGCCGAGUUGAGAGACUGAUCGGCCACAAUGGAACUGAGACACGGUCCAUACUCCUACGGGAGGCAGCAGUAGGGAAUCUUCCACAAUGGGCGCAAGCCUGAUGGAGCAACACCGCGUGAGUGAAGAAGGGUUUCGGCUCGUAAAGCUCUGUUGUUGGAGAAGAACGUGCGUGAGAGUAACUGUUCACGCAGUGACGUAUCCACCAGAAUGCCGAU
rnacentral:rRNA from 2 species